UAUGAGCAGACACUCCAAUGUAGUAGGCAAACAACUACAUAUAACUUAUAAGCCACAUAAGCUCAUGAACUUGCAAAUCUCCUCGACAAUAUGCCCAAAGGAUCACUCCCUGGCAAUAACCCUUGAGGAAUUCUUGUCUGCUAUCUGGUAUGAAAAUGCAGCAGCACUCACUCAUUAAUCUGAUUAAGAGGAUUGUCAGGAGAUUUCUUCCAUAACUUCCAUAUCAUGUCCUUGUAUUGAUUAUGAGUAAGGCCUGGUUUCUCUUCCUUGAGUUUAGGAAGCUCAGCUUCUUCAAAAGCCUUAAAUGAGGCCUUGAGCCUCCUCUCAGGAUGCCUAUCAGCUGGCAAGUCGUCCGCGACUGUCAUCUGUGCAAUCGCAUCCUCCACAGUCCUUGCCUCAAUAAUGGAAUCAUCGCGAUUCGUAUUUGCAACCAACACCAUUCUCUCAUAAUCCUCCUCAACGGCGGUCCUGCUCUGCCUUCGUUUCAUCUCAUCCGCUUUCUUAGCCAGUUCUGCCUGCUCCUCCUCCCGCCGCCUCCCGAGCUCCGCCUCCGUCACCUUAGGAACUGGAAUAGCCACCCGAUUCGCCUUCUUAUCUGGUUUCCUCAAGGAUUUAUCGAUCUCCUUAUCUUCCUGUUCGGCCAACAGGCGGGCCUCAGCGCGACGAGCAGCGGCUUCUGCUCGCUUCUCAGAUUCUUCCUCGCGUUUCUUGGCGGCACGAGAUUUGGAGCCCUCGGCUUCGCGCCAGUACUGGUCUUCCUUCUCGCGGGCGUCGCGCUCCUUGCGCUCGGUCUCAGCAGUGCUCUUCCGGGCCCGAGCGGCCUCGGCCUUGCUGUUGACGCCCAUCUUCUUUGGCAUCUUUGAUUGAAGAAUUAGGCCUUGAUUGAAUUGAUGAAAAUGGA
rnacentral:misc_RNA from 1 species